rnacentral:lncRNA from 1 species
UUUAUUAGAUACCACCAUAGUUGUGUACAGAGUAUUCCUUUUCUACUAAAACCUUAGUUCAUGUUUUUUUCUUGAAUGUACGAAGUAUUGAAUACUGCAUUUUAGUAUGAUAUUUUAUGUUUUUUUAGGCCAUUGAAAAUUGUGUAUGGUGGUUCCAUUCAAACAUUACAAAAAUUAUAAAUUACACAUUUUACAAUUUAGAUUGAUCCUACUUAUUUCUCUUUAUUUAUUAUGUAUUUUUUGAAUCGUAGUUUAAGAUUUUUUCUUUCCUUCAAUUUAUACAUAAUUUUUGUCUUCUUCUACAAUUGAAUAAUAUAUACUAUUGGAUGUAUUUGAUUCAAA